GUUCCUGUAGCGCAAUGAAUAGCGCGUUGGGCUUCUAAUCCAAAGGUUGUGAGCUCGAAUCUCACCUGAGAUG
rnacentral:tRNA from 1 species